rnacentral:tRNA from 1 species
GGUCCUGGCUCAGGGGUAGAGUGUUCACCUGGCACCUGUGAGGCCCUGGGUUCAAACCUCAGCACCA